GCUGCUGUGGCUCAGCAGGUAGAGCACAUCCUUGGUAAGGAUGAGGUCGGCGGUUCAAAUCCGCUCAGCAGCUCCA
rnacentral:tRNA from 1 species